rnacentral:rRNA from 1 species
GUCUACAGCUGUACCACCCUGAACGCGCCCGAUCUCGUCUGAUCUCGGAAGCUAAGCAGGGUCAGGCCUGGUUAGUGCUUGGAUGGGAGAAGAUGUGUUGGUCUCAAAGAAGAGGGAAAGGAAGAGAGGACGUGGUCA